rnacentral:rRNA from 1 species
UACGUAGGGCGCAAGCGUUAUCCGGAAUUAUUGGGCGUAAAGAGCUCGUAGGCGGUUUGUUGCGUCGGCUGUGAAAUCCCGAGGCUCAACCUCGGGUCUGCAGUCGAUACGAGCAAACUAGAGUGUUGCAGGGGAGACUGGAAUUCCUGGUGUAGCGGUGAAAUGCGCAGAUAUCAGGAAGAACACCCGUGGCGAAAGCGGCUCUCUGGAACGGUACUGACGCUGAGACGCGAAAGCGUGGGGAGCGAACAGG